UACGGAGGGUGCAAGCGUUAUCCGGAUUUACUGGGUUUAAAGGGUGUGUAGGCGGGUCUUUAAGUCAGUGGUGAAAUCUCCGAGCUCAACUUGGAAACUGCCAUUGAUACUAUUGAUCUUGAAUUCUGUUGAGGUAGGCGGAAUAAGUCAUGUAGCGGUGAAAUGCAUAGAUAUGACUUAGAACACCAAUUGCGAAGGCAGCUUACUAAGCAGAUAUUGACGCUGAGGCACGAAAGCGUGGGGAUCAAACAGG
rnacentral:rRNA from 1 species